rnacentral:lncRNA from 1 species
AGAAUUGAACCAAAUGCCUUGAUUGUCUAUAUUGAGUACACUAUAAACCUAUUGUAUAUCUUCUUGACUCAAUAGGAGGUAGAAGAAGAUUGAGGUUGGAAUUUCUAGCUAAUCCAAUUAAUUGUUCCAUCAUCAACUUCAUAUGAUGAGAGAUUUAGAUUUGGAAUUCUAAUUAGGAUGCCCUCAUUUCUUUUUAUAAGUCCUCUUUUUACCUAUUAUCCUCAAUAGGAUAGGUCAUAGCUAAUAAAAGAGAUAGAAGUUUAAUGUUUAAAAGUAUUGAAUAGGUUCUUAGGUUUAUAGGAAUUAAUGGUGAUUGUUUGUGCAAUUGGAAGCUUGAUAUAUAAGGAUUUGUAGCAUGUAUGGAUAUAAAGUUAGAGAUAUUGUAGUCUUCUUUAUGCUAUAAUCUUUCAUGCUCUUUAUUGAUUUGUUCUACUUUUUUUGCUUCAUGUUUAAUUGCUAUGAGGUCGUUAAGAUAUACAUGAAGGAUUUCUUUAAUGGUUUCUUUUUUGGAAAAUCCUUGAAUGAAGAAAUACUUUAAGAUAUUCUCAAUGAACAAAGUCCUUACAAAAUUUAUCACUACUAAUUUAAAACAUCAAAUAUACAACAUAAUAUUUUCAUCUUUUCUUUUUUUA